AGAGGGGCCGAACGGUGAGGGUGAGGUCCGCCCCCCGCUGUGGGAUGAUGUAGCGCUCCUCCCUGAGCAGGCGCAGCAGCAGGUCCUGGGUGUCCCGGGGCCAGUGGUAGAUCCUGGUGCUCUGCAGCCAGUUGGGGACGUGUCUCUGCAAACACAGACGGACAGACAGCGGGCCGUGCUCGUCAUCUCCAUCUCCCUCCACAUCCUGCCUGUACCUAGGGCUGAUGACCACGAUGAUGAUGACUGAUUUCUGUGAAGUGACAGCACACUGUCAGUCGUUUGCAGAAGACAAUCCGUUACACAAUUUGGAUUCAGACUCGAUGGCUCGACUUACGUCAUUCAAAAAGCUGUCCAUCCAUUUGUUGAUGCCCAUUCUUCGGAUCGGAUUAUCAAAGAUGUCGAUCUGUCAGCAGGCAGGCGCAUUAAGUGUGAGUGUUUGUUCGGAAAGUCACCGAGAGGCAUAAAAGGUGAUGAAGACAUGACUUACUGCUGGGUUGAACCCCUGAUCAGUCAGAAACUUGGUGAAUGUAAGGAUUUCUUCGGCUGUGUCCACUGAAUACGUGAUGAAAACAUUCCCUGCCAAAGGAAAAACAGGCUGAUGAUCCUCCGGAUCUCCCUCGUGGCCGGCCCUGGACUGGCCUGGAGGGAGCGGUACACGUCGACCUCGUGCAUCACUUCUCGAGGAGGGCCCACGCGCUG